GCAUAUGAAUAAGGAUCGGCUAACUCCGUGCCAGCAGCCGCGGUCAUACGGAGGAUCCAAGCGUUAUCCGGAAUUACUGGGCGUAAAGAGUUGCGUAGGCGGCAUAGUAAGUAGGUAGUGAAAUCGUGUGGCUCAACCAUACUCACAUUAUCUAAACUGCUAAGCUAGAGCAUGAGAGAGGUACCUGGAAUUGCUAGUGUAGGAGUGAAAUCCGUAGAUAUUAGCAGGAACACCGAUGGCGUAGGCAGGGUACUGGCUCAUUGCUGACACUAAGGCACGAAAGCGUGGGGAGCAAACGGGAUUAGAUACCCCGGUAGUCCACGCCGUAAACGAUGGAUGCUAGCUGUUAGAGGUAUCGACCCCUCUAGUAGCGAAGCUAACGCGUUAAGCAUCCCGCCUGUGGAGUACGAGCGCAAGCUUAAAACAUAAAGGAAUUGACGGGGACCCGCACAAGCGGUGGAGCGUGUUCUUUAAUUCGAUGGUAAGCGAAGAACCUUACCAGGGUUUGACAUCCUUGGAAUUUCUCCGAAAGGAGAAAGUGCUUUUAGAGCCAAGUGACAGGUGAUGCAUGGCCGUCGUCAGCUCGUGUCGUGAGAUGUUUGGUUAAGUCCAUCAACGAGCGCAACCCUUUUAUUCAGUUGGAUUUUUCUGAAUAGACUGCCCCGGUAACGGGGAGGAAGGAGGGGAUGAUGUCAGGUCCUUAUUUCCCUUACACCCUGGGCUAGAAACACGCUACAAUGGCCGGUACAAAGGGCAGCUAAGUCGCGAGACGGAGCAAAUCCCAUCAAAGCCGGUCUCAGUUCGGAUAGCAGGCUGAAACUCGCCUGCUUGAAGCCGGAAUCGCUAGUAACGGUGAGUCAGCACAUCACCGUGAAUACGUUCCCGGGUCUUGUACACACCGCCCGUCAAGCCAUGAGAGUCGCCAAUACCUGACGUGUUGCCUUUGAGCAGCCCUAAGGUAGGGGAGAUGAUUGGGGUUAAGUCGUAACAAGGUAUCCGUACCGGAAGG
rnacentral:rRNA from 2 species